AUUGAACGCUGGCGGCAGGCCUAACACAUGCAAGUCGAACGAGUGGCGGACGGGUGAGUAAUGUCUGGGAACCUGCCUGAUGGAGGGGGAUAACUACUGGAAACGGUAGCUACUACCGCAUACCAUCAGAUGUGCCCAGAGGGGAUUAGCUUGCUGGUGGGGUAACGGCUCACCAAGGCGACGAUGCCUAGCUGGGCUGAGAGGGUGACCAGCCACACUGGGACUGAGACACGGUCCAGACUCCUACGGGAGGCAGCAGUAGGGAAUAUUGGGCAAUGGGCGAAAGCCUGAUGCAGCCAUGCCGCGUGUGUGAAGAAGGCCUUCGGGUUGUAAAGUACUGUCAGCGGGGAGGCGUUACCCGCAGAAGAAGCAACGGCUAACUCCGUGCCAGCAGCCGCGGUAAUUC
rnacentral:rRNA from 1 species